AUUUUAAUUUUAAACACAUGCAAAGGUUUAAAAAUUAUUUAAAUAUUAUUUCAGAGCAUUAAUCUUUAUACAAAAAGUGCUAAAAUUAUAAAAUUUUAGGUUUGAAAUGAGCGACGAUUUUCCGCCAAAACGUGAAACUAAACGACAAAAUACCGCAAAAUCAACAGCUCCAAAACAAGAUGGCGGACGACAGUGUUGGAAAUGAAAAAACUUUUUGCACGUUUUUUAAAAAGGCAAAACGAAAAGGAAACGUUCGGAAACGGAAAGCAGAAAGUUCGGGAAGCGAGGACGAAACGUCUGUUGUGAGAUUAGAAAAGAAAGCCGCCCCAAACCCUUUAAAACAAAAAACUGGCAAUGCUGUUAGAUCUUGGGAGGUUCAUGAAGAGAGCUCGAAACAGAAUUCAGAUAAACAAGGUUAAAAUGACUUUUAAUUUGCCAAAUUAUAAUAAAUAUAUAGAAAAAAUGGUAAAAUAUGGUUGUACCCAAACAUGAACUUAGCAAAAGGAAUCCGCUAGAAAUUGGCCUUGGCUGUGGUUGACCAGUCUAUACCCCCAAUGGGCCAUUGCAUUUUUAAACCAACCCCCCCCCCCCUAUUGAGGACAUCCAUUUUUUGGUCCCCCCUCCCCUGGAAUUUCCACAUUUUUUAAGCGAAUUUUUUGCCUCCCCCGUGGAAUUUCCGCAGAUUUUUAUUGAAUUUUAGCCAUCCCCAUGGAAUUUCCGCAAAUUUUUUAUGAACUUUUAACCCAUCCCAUGGAAAUUCCUUGACAGUUUUUGAUCUAGCCAGUGGAAAUUCCAUAUUGAUUCUUUGAUUAGUAGCUAUCCCUUGGAAAAUUCCUUGCUGAUUUUGAUCCUAUCCUUUGGAAUUUCUUUUCCAUUGUUG